AUCGAGCUGACGAGUUCCAAAUAGGACGAAACACGCGUCCUGAAU
rnacentral:hammerhead_ribozyme from 1 species